rnacentral:rRNA from 1 species
UACGAAGGGGGCUAGCGUUGUUCGGAAUUACUGGGCGUAAAGGGCGCGUAGGCGGUCCUUCACGUCCGGCGUGAAAGCCCCGGGCUCAACCUGGGAACCGCGCUUGAGACUGGAGAACUAGAGUUCGGGAGAGGAUGGUGGAAUUCCCAGUGUAGAGGUGAAAUUCGUAGAUAUUGGGAAGAACACCGAUGGCGAAGGCAGCCAUCUGGACCGACACUGACGCUGAGGCGCGAAAGCGUGGGGAGCAAACGGG